UACGUAGGGGGGCAAGCGUUGUCCGGAUUUAUUGGGCGUAAAGAGCGUGUAGGCGGCCAGACAGGUCAGCUGUGAAAACUCGAGGCUCAACCUCGAGACGUCGGUUGAAACCGUCUGGCUAGAGUCCGGAAGAGGAGAGUGGAAUUCCCCGGUGUAGCGGGUGAAAAUGCGCAGAUAUCGGGAAGAACACCCGUGGCGAAGGCGGCUCUCUGGGACGGUACUGACGCUGAGACGCGAAAGCGUGGGGGAGCGAACAGG
rnacentral:rRNA from 1 species